GAAAGACCUUUGAGAUCAACACUGAAAACUUCACCAUGAGAUGAAGUUCAUGAAAAUUUCCCAGAAACCUCAGAGGAUGUGCUCAUAUCUAAGUUGGAAACAUGUCUACUCUGAUAUUGAGUUUUGACU